UUUAUGCAAAAAUAAAAAAACCUUUACUCAUCUUCUUUUCUUCACACAAACACAAUGUGGAGCAACCUUCCUUCUGAUCUCUUAGCCAACAUCUUCUCCCUCCUCUCCCCAGACUCCUUGGCACGUGCCAGCUCUUCUUGCCGGCACUGGCACACGUGUGCCAAGGCUUACCCUUUGAGCACAACCUCUAAUAAUUCGGCAUGGUUCUUGGCCAUGCCAAUUCAGCGCAAUCAUACACUCUUAUCCUGUUAUCUUCACGACCCAGUUCUCAACAAUUGGCAUGCUCUCUCUCUUGACUUUCUUCCAGACCCAGUUCGGCUUGUUGGUCCAAUUGGUAGCCUUGUUCUUAUAAGACCAACGAGUUCUACAUUUCUCCAAUUGGCUAUUUGUAACCCAUUUACUAGACAAUUUAGGCACCUUCCUAUGUUGAACAUUACAAGGACUAACCCAGCUGUGGGUGUUAUUAUGGUACUAGAUUCGACCCAAUCUGUUCCAUUUCCUUGCUUUAAGGUUUUUGUGGCAGGUGGGAUGUCCGAGGCCGUUGCGCCACGUCGCGGCGCCUUGUAUGAACCCACAUUGGAGAUGUACGACUCGCGACAACACACGUGGCAAGUUGUGGGGCCUAUGCCAGUUGAAUUUGCUGUGAGGCUAACGGUUUGGACACCCAAUGAGAGUGUGUACUCUAAGGGGGUCUUGUAUUGGAUUACCUCAGCUCGGGCUUACAGUGUAAUGGGGUUUGAGAUUGGUACUAACACAUGGAUGGAAUUGAAUGUGCCAAUGGCAGACAAGCUUGAAUUUGCCACACUAGUGAGAAGGAAUGGGGUGCUAACACUUGUUGGUGGCAUAUGUGGUGGAGAGGCUUGUGUAUGGGAGCUUGUUGAAGGGUACAAUUGGAGACUAGUUGAGAAGAUGUCAAUUGAAUUUGGGAUAAGAUUUUUAGGUAGCAAGACAAGUUGGGGUAGUACAAAAUGUGUAGGUAGUGAUGAGGCUAUUUACUUGUAUAGAGACCUUAGGUCAGGAAUGGUAGUUUGGAGGAAAGUUGUUGAUAAGGGUAAAUGGGAAUGGUUCUGGGUUGAAGGGUGUUGUUCCGUUGGGGGAAAACAAGUGCAAACUUUCCCAAUUAAAGGAGUACUUCUUCAGCCUAGUCUUGCUCCCUCAUGCAUAUCCUAAAUUAAUGAGGCCCAUUUGUGCAUGUUUUGUAAGAAAGUGAUAGUAUUGAAGAGCCUCCCAACUGUCAAAAUCUGACAACAAUCCUACAGGAAUACCAAUUAUGGAGCAAAGCAAAUGAGGAAGGCUAUUUUUCAAUCAAUGAUAGACGUCUUAACACAACUGCAGGUUUAAUAAGUGUACAUAUAUACUCAAUGCUUACUCAAAUUUGCAUAUGCAUUGUAUAAAAAAGCUUAUGAAUUUUAAGGAGAAAGAUGGCUUUUCAUUUUGACUGGUGAUGAACUAGACUAAUUAUACUACUCACCGGUGGCAUGGAAUCUUUGAGUUAAGCUGAAAAGGAUUGCAUUGGUGAGCUUCUUUUGUAUUUCUCUUGCCUUUCAAAGGGCACGAGACUGAGGAUGUAUACUUUUAUAAUGUCUGGUCUACAUGAGAUGGAGUUUCUACUAAUGAACAAUUAGAUGCUUGCAGUGCACACAAGACUGAGACAGGGCUGAUGAAUAACAUUAUAUGUAAUAACAUUUUACCCUUAGUUCACCAAGUUCAAGGUCCUCAAUGUUUUUCUUUUAAUAUGUUUUUUUAUUUAUUUAAAUGGAUGUAGUUUAUAUAAAGAUAUGUUAAGUAUUCUUGUGUUUGCA